rnacentral:rRNA from 1 species
UACGUAGGGUGCAAGCGUUGUCCGGAAUUAUUGGGCGUAAAGAGCUCGUAGGCGGUCUGUCGCGUCGGCUGUGAAAACCUGGGGCUUAACUCCGGGCUUGCAGCCGAUACGGGCAGACUAGAGUUCGGCAGGGGAGACUGGAAUUCCUGGUGUAGCGGUGAAAUGCGCAGAUAUCAGGAGGAACACCGGUGGCGAAGGCGGGUCUCUGGGCCGAAACUGACGCUGAGGAGCGAAAGCGUGGGGAGCAAACAGG